CGGAAGCGGCGGCCGGGCAGCCAUGUCGGCUUUGUCUGCGGCGCGGGCGGCCCUGCGGGUCUACGCGGUGGGCGCGGCGGUGGUCCUGGCGCAGCUGCUGCGCCGCUGCCUCGGGGGCUUCGCGGAGCCAGUCUUCCCCGCACAACCCGAGCGUGUUGCUGUCGUGACCGGCGGGACGGACGGCAUCGGCUUCGCGACCGCCAAGUGUCUGGCCAAGCUCGGCAUGCACGUCAUCAUAGCGGGAAAUAAUGAUGCCAAAGCCCUAGAAGUCGUGAGGAAGAUAAAAGAAGAAACCCUGAAUGACAAAGUGGAGUUUUUGUAUUGCGACCUGGCGUCCAUGAGGUCUGUCCGGCAGUUCGUCCAGAAGUUCAAGAUGAAGAACAUCCCCCUCCAUGUGCUGGUCAAUAAUGCCGGCGUGAUGAUGGUCCCUGAGCGGAGCACUGAGGACGGCUUUGAGGAGCACUUUGGGGUGAACUACCUGGGCCACUUCCUGCUCACCAACCUCCUCCUGGACACCCUGAAAGCAUCCGGUUCUCCUGGCCACAGCGCCAGGGUGGUGACUGUGUCCUCGGCCACGCACUAUGUUGGGGAGCUGAACCUGGACGACCUCCAGAGCAGGAGCGGCUACUCGGCGCACGGCGCCUACGCCCAGAGCAAGCUGGCCCUGGUGCUGUUCACCUACCGCCUGCAGGCGCUGCUGGCCGGCGCCGGCAGCCACGUGACCGCCAACGUGGCCGACCCCGGCGUGGUCAACACCGACCUCUACAGACACGUCUUCUGGGGCACGGGGCUCAUGAAGAAGAUAUUCGGCUGGUGGUUUUCCAAGACCCCAGAGGAAGGAUCCUGGACUUCCGUCUACGCGGCGGUCUCCCCUGCGCUGGAAGGUGUCGGCGGCCGCUACCUUUACAACGAGAAAGAGACCAGGUCUCUGGCGAUCACGUAUGACCGAAAGCUGCAGCGACAGCUGUGGGCCAGGAGUUGCCAGUUGACCGGCACCGCUGACGUGACCCAGGACGCCUUGUCGGGGUAGCAGCCACGCCGCGGGACCGCGUUCAGUCCCGCACUCGCAGAUGCACAAGAGGCUGUGAAUUCUGUGCCGCAGAACCGGGAGAUGUUGGCGUGAACCGGCAGGAGACCAGGACAAGGCCCCCGGGACGUUCAUCUGAGAUGCGCACCCCUCGUCUGAGUGCCGCUGUGGCUGGCAGAGCUGAGAGCCCAGCACGUGAGACUCUGCACAGCGGCCAGAGAGGAGCAGGCCGGGCCCUUCUGCAGGGCGCGUAGACUCCGCAGGGCGUCCGCGUGGCUGAGAAGCAUCCUGACGCCCUUCACGGGACAGCCGCGGGUGACAGGAAGGAUGACAGGGACCGGGGACCAGCACCGAGACGGGGUGCACCCAGAGGUCACGGGGCACAAUGACACCUGAGCACCAGAGGUUCCUGGACUUCUCCAUUCCAGCUGCAGGAGAGAUGGCGACCAACAAUGUGACUCACAAGACCAAUUAAUGCAUCCUCGUGGCCUGUAUGUCACACGUCUGCAGAGCCCCCCAGGGAAUUCAGGUCUUUGUGUGAAGACGGGGGCACGUGGCCCCUCUGGAAGGCCCUGCUCGCUCAGACAGCUCACUGAGAUGCCGUGUGUAUGUGUCCUGGAGCAUCUGUAACAAAUAACCUCAAACUGGGAGGCUAAAAACCACAGACAUCCACCCUCCCUGAGUCCUGGAGACCAGACGUCUGAGGUCAAGGUGUCCCAGGGCCGCGCUCCCUCCGGAGGCCCCAGGGGAGGGUCCCUCCUGCCUCUUCCAGCUUCUGGGGGCUCCAGGCGUCCAUCCCUGGGCUGGUGGCCGCCUCCCUCCCGUCUCUGCCUCCGUCUCCACGUGGCGUCUCCUCUGUGUCUGCGUCUCUCCUCUUCUGUCUCUUCUGAGGACACUGUCCUUGAAUGCAGGGCCACCUCCUCCAGGAGGACCUCCUCUCAGGUCCUUCCCUUCCACCUGGAUAAUCAAGAAUGACCUCUUCAAGUGAAGAUUCAUCAUGAAUUAUGUCUGCCAAGACCCUUUUUUUGCCAACAAAGUCAUAUCCACAAGUAACAACAAGAACAAAAAUAUGAAAACGAAUUAUGUCUGUAUCUGCAUGACUGGGACACUGUGCUGUGCAACCAGAGACAGACACAUUGUAACUGACUGUACCUCGACUUAAAAAAAUAUGUAUGUAUACAACUCACAAUUAAUAGGCAUUAGGACACGCUCGCACCUUUUUGGUAGACAUUAGGAUUUAAUCCACCACAUGCUGCAUGAACAGGGUGCCUUGGAAUCCCAGGAAACGCCCGCUCCUCUCCUGGUGACCCGGGACGCCGUGGAGGCGAUGGCUUCCUCUGCACGUCCCCAGGGUGGGCUUCCCGGGCCAGGGAGCCGCACGGCCGCCCAGGACCCUGGGCUCCUCAGGGCGCCUGUUGGCUUGAUGCUCUGCUGCCGCCAGCUUGGAACUGCUAAUGCAGCGUGAACGAGGGACGCAUACGUUCAUUUUGCCCUCAGCUGCGUGUGCCAUAGUCCUCUCUGCUCCAACCUCAAGAAAUAGGAGCCAGUGUGCAGCCAGUAAGGAACCCCCCUCCUCCCAGGGCACCCCCUUCCCCGUCAAACCGUCGAUGCACUCAAGCCUGGCCUUGGUGGGGAAGAUCUCCCGUAAGGUCCAGUAAGGCUGGUGGGUUUUGGCUGCGCGCUGGGGGUUCCUCUGCGAAUGGCGGGUGCUCAGCCCCGCCGACCACAAAACUCCCAAGUUCAUUCCUCUGGGCAUCAGCGUUCCUUGUGACAUCCUCAAGUCCUCCUGCCUCUCGGGCGCAUUUCAGGACUCCCUGAGCCAGGCAGAUGCAGACCGCGGCUUCCAGCCCUGCGCUGCUGACACCUCCCGGGGCUGCUCAGAUGUUCGGCUAGGCCCUACCGCGCUGACUGAUGUGUCUCGGAACCAGAAUUACUUCCUACGGUGAACCCAGCAUGGAGACGUGCCUCGCCUUAAUAUUUCUGCCAGCCAGGACUGUGUCCCGAGAAGCAGAAUCUUGACCUCUGGGGAGACCCCAGUUUUGGAGGGUUUGCAUGUCGUCCGAGAGCCCUUUAUGGCCUGAGGUCAUGGUCGCAGCUGUGCCAGCCACUGUCACCGUCAUCACAAAGGUUGUUCCCAAGUACAGUCUCAGGGUGGGCUGGCGCGGUGACUGCUGGCCACCCCAGCCUCCUCCGUCACUGGGAGAAUCAGCUUCCUGGCUCCUGAAAGACGCCACGGUCCCCGGGCUAAGACGGGCUCCAAGAACCGUUUGGACCUUGUAGGACCCUGGCCUCCGAUGGCUCCUCCUAAUUGCAUGGCAGCUCUUCUGUCACCGGCCCAGCACAGGAGAGACUGAACGUGAUCUCGGAGACAUGGACGCGCUCCCUCCGCAUCGGACCGCAAGCCUCCUCACGGCUCAGAGACGCUUCCAGCCGCCGGAGGGGCCCGUGCACCGCCGGCAGAGAAAUGCGCUGGAGUUGUCUUUUCUGUCAUCUGGACACCAACAUCGUAGAGACUGGGUCCAAAUCUGUUACUUGCUUACCGAUGGCCAUGAAGGCACGAACACGAGCCCAGCCACGAGGACCUCCCGGACUUCUCCGUGUGCAGAGGGGGGGCCCCUGUGCGCAGUCCACAGCCCGGGAACUCUCUGGUCUCUGGGACUCCCGCCAGAGAAGCAUCUUCUCAGGUGGUAACAAAUCAGGCUGGCCGUGCUGCUUCCUUUGGGUGAGAGAGGCGGAUGUCGGAAUGCAGACAUGUCCUCCAGGUGUCCUCUCCCGGAACCAACUUUCUUCGACUUUGGUUUUGAACUUCAAGAAAAGGACAGCCCAGGAUAGAUACGGACGUGUGGUAACAAAUCAGGCUGGCCGUGCUGCUUCCUUUGGGUGAGAGAGGCGGAUGUCGGAAUGCAGACAUGUCCUCCAGGUGUCCUCUCCCGGAACCAACUUUCUUCGACUUUGGUUUUGAACUUCAAGAAAAGGACAGCCCAGGAUAGAUACGGACGUGAAACAUCCGCUGUGGCUGGAUAUGAAUUAUCGAGUCCUAGGACAGAGGAAGAAUCAGGCCGGAACGUUCCAAACUCCACAGACUGCCUCUUUCCUGCAUGUGCCACCCAGAUGGAAAAUCCCAAAGAGCCUCAACCGUCUUGAUUUUCAAAUCCGCUCCGAUUUACUCUGCUUUAGAAAGAGCACGACAAAGAAUUCAUCUUCUUUGCAGAAUCAGGUGGCAGGUCUCUGGGCUCCUCCCUCUGGCUGGCUGUAAGGGACCAUCCUGUCGGCAGGAUUCAUUUGGGGAGAACCUAAAUUUGAGCUCGCAGGCAUGGUUCUCCCAUCCCCGGGUUCCAUGAGGCUGAGACUAUCUGCUUGUUCUGCAAGGGGUCGACGCGUGAAACAAGGUAACCAGAGCUCUGUCUUCCUCACCUACACUGCUCAGGGGAGCCUAGGUUGUACUGCAACGCCAGAAUCUCAGACACUUUGUGCCCCCCACCCCCGAAGAAUGAUCUGUCCUCACCGUGUUUCCGGUGGGAAUGUAGAUGUCUGAGCUGACAAUGCCUUCACUGUAAACUCUGACCUCAGUUAUCACAGGAGGACACAGUCACUGAUAUGGGCUGCCCACCCCUCACGUUUGCACGGUGACACUGGACCUGUCCCACAAGGCAUGCUGGGAAACGUGGGUGUGAGAUGCAGGGACCAGUGGGUACCACUGUCUCUGCCCCAAACUCUCAGAUCUGCUGACCCCAGUCAAACACCAAAACAAAUGCGUAUCAAUAGUAAUUUUACCCUCCUCCUGGGAGAGACCUGGGUAUUCUGUAUAAACCGGGGGUUAAUACCCAUAUGGACCACGAAGGUAGGAGAAGAAAGCAAAGAUGGUAGCGAUGUGGGCUCCUGGUCCGAGCAGAUUCUAGGUGUUUGGGAAUGCAGGGAAAACUUCUAGACAAGAAAAAGUAAGAGUAAGAAGGAACUGGGCAUACCCAUCCAAUAGCUCCUAUUUUUUCUUUUUUUUUUUUUAAUUGAGUUAUAGUCCAUUUACAAUGUUGUGUCAAUUUCUACUGCACAGCACAGUGCUUCAGUCAUACACGAACAUAAAUAUAUUCAUUUUCAUAUUCUUUUCCACUGUGAUCUAAUACAAGAUCUUGAGCAUAUUUCCCUGUGCUAUACAGUACAAUGUUGUUUAUUUAUUCUACAUUUUGAAAUCCCAGUCUGUCCCUUCCGACCCCCCGCCCCCUUGGCAAGCACAAGUUUGUUUUCUAUGUCCAUGAGUCUGUUUCUGUUUCGUAUUUAUGGAUUUUUUCUUUUUAGGUUCCACAUGGGAGCGAUCUCAUAUGGUCAUUUUCUUUCUCUUUCUGGCUUGCUUCACAUAGAAUGACAUUCUCCAGGUCCAUCCAUGUUGCUGCAAAUGGCAUUAUUUUAUUCUUUUUUAUGGCAGAGUAAUAUUCCAUUGUAUAAACGUACCACCUCUUCUUCAUCCAGUCAUCUCUUGAUGGACAUUUAGGCUGCUUCCAUGUCUUGGCUCUUGUAAACAGUGCUGCCAUGAACACUGGGGUGCUGGUGUCAUUUUGAAGUAGGGUUCCUUCUGGAUAUGUGCCCAGGAGCAGGAUUCCUGGAUCACAUAAUAAGUGUAUUCCUACUAUUUGAGGAAUCUCCAUAGUGUUUUCCACAGAGGCUUCACCAAACUGCAUUCCCACUAGCAGUGUAGGAGGGACCCCUUCUCUCCACAGCCUCUCCAGCAUUUGUUGUUUGUGGACUUUUGAACGACGGGCAUUCUGACUGGUGUGAGGUGAUACCUCAUUGUAGCUUUGAUUUGCAUUUGUCUGAUAUUUAGUGAUAUUGAGCCUUUUUUCAUGUGUUUAUUGAACAUUUGUAUGUCUUCCUUAGAGAAUUGCUUGUUUAGGUCUCCUGCCCAUUUUUGGAUUGGGUUUGUUUUUUUCUUAUUAAGCUGUAAGAAUUGUUUAUAUAUGCUGGAGCUGAAGCCCUUGUCAGUUGCAUCUUUUGCAAAUAUUUUCUCCCAUUCUAUAAGUUAUCAUUUUGUUUUGCUUAUUGUUCCCUUUGCUGUGAAAAAGCUUGUAAGUUUAAUUUUGGCUACUAUUUUUAAAACGUGGAGAAGAACAAGUGUCAGCGAGGAUGUGGGGCAACCAGCACCCCUGUGCCCUGUUGGUGGGAAUGUAAAUGGUGCAGCUGCUACAGGAAACAGGCGUCAAAAAUUAAACAUAGAAUCACCUCGUGAUCCAGCAGUCCCAAUUCCGGGUGUGUAUGCAGAAGAACUGAGAGCAGGGUCUUCACCCCCAUGUUCACAGCAGCACUGUGUACAGUAGACAAAGCAUGGAAGCAAUCUAAGUGCGUAUCAGCAGAUGACUGGAUAAAGCAGAAGUGGUACAUUCAUACAACGGAAUACUACUCAGCCAUGAGAAAUGAUAAAAUAUUGCCAUUUGCAGCCACAUGGAUGGACUUGGAGAUUAUCACACAAAGUGAAGUCAGACAGAGAAAGACAAAUAUCAUAUGAUAUCACUUAUAUGUGGAAUGUAAAAUACGAUAGAAAUGAACUUAUUUACAAAACAGAAACAGACUCACAGACAGAAAACAUAGUUACCGGAGGGGGGAGGAGGGAAGGAUAAAUUAGGAGUUUGGGAUUAGCAGAUACACACUACUGUAUAUAAAGCAGAUAAACAACAAGGUCCUACUGUAGAGCACAGGGAACUAUAUUCAAUAUAUUGUAAUAACUUAUGAUAAAAAAAAUGUAAAAAGAAAUAUUUGGAUGUUCAUUUAUGACGGAAGCAUUAUGCUGGACACCAGAAAUUGACACAGCCUUGUAAACUGACUAGACUUCAAGAAAAAUACAUUAUAUGUACACAAAAACUUUUUUAAUGGUCUGCACAAAAGAGAGAAACAGAACUGCUGAGUUCAAGUACUGAUGCAGGCCCUCUGUGCUGUGAGAAACCAAACUUUAGUGAGCUUAAGGGAAAACAAAUACAUUAGUUUAGAAACACUGAGAAGAUUCGCCAAAGCCCACUUGUGAGAAACAGGGUUUCCUACAAAGGAAUACGGCAGGGAUGGGUCACAAGCACUAAUUAUAGAAAUGACAGAAGAUACGUGCAGGCCAGCAGCGACUUAACAAAAAUGCAGUGUCGUUUAUCAGGGAGGGGAAAAAAAAAAGGAGAGAAGAGGAGGCAGGGAAGAGGAGGGAGGGAAGGAAGAACAGAAUGUGGGGUCUCAGACAAACUAGACACAUGAGCCUCGUGUCUGCGUUUCGCGGGUAACAGAACGGCGGCGGCAGCCGGGAGAUGGACCGUGAAGUUUCCCCCGGCUCGGCACGCGGGGAUCGCUGUGUGCGUUCUGGUGCACGGAGUCCCUGCAGCUGGGAUGAGCGUGACUCGUGAUCAAGCAAAAGUAAAAACUGACUAAAUCCUUGAGAAAUGCUCAGAUCGUCAGCUGCAGCCUCGAAACAUCAAGCCCUCCUGAAGAAGCUUGUGUUUUACUGAUCCGGGGCCAAAACACCUUUUUAUGGAUUGGUACCCACUGUAAAAAAACAAAAACAAACAAACAAACAAAAACAACCAAAUUGUGCAAAAGAAACAAAAAUACAUGUUCAAAAAAGGAAGAGGAAAAAGAAGUAAAAGUGACCCAAACAACCAGUUGCCCCAGCUCCGUCCGGUCGUGGCGGUGCAGCCCGGCUAAGCCAGCGGACCCUGAGGUCAAGGUCAAACCAUCCCUGACCCUCCCGCGCCACCGUAACUUACUUGCCACAGCCUUAUUCCAUGCUGUUGCCUUUUCAGAGUCUAUCCGUGUCCCCAGGGCUCCCCCGUUCUCUGAGGGGGCCCAGUGCUCCCCGGGGCUACCUCGGGGUGUUCCCCAGCCACGUGCUCCUGGGGAUGGGCUGCUGGAUGGCUUUUGGGCCUGAAUCCCUGCCCCAGAUUCCUUGGAGCCGUGCCCCUCGCCCCCCGCCUGCAUCCCCACCCACACGCACCUUCCUAUCUUCGAGGUACCCCAUCCUGAGCCGCGACCACCUCCAAAAUGCCAGGGGCCGCUGUCCCCUGUAAUCCGUCCUGUCCCUUCCCCAAUGCCCACCCAUCCGGGCAGGUUCUGAGAAGUCACCAUGGCACAGAGGAAAGGGCCCAGCGGGGAACUCGGGCAAUCCCUUGGGCUCCCACAUCCCUGGCGGGCGGGCAGCCUUCGUUUCUUCCUCCCCGCGGGGUCACAGAGAUGAGGACGUGACUGUCGGAGCCCUGGAGGGGAGGGCGGGGGCCUUAAAUCAUAGCCAUUCCAUGACCUCUCCUCCUCUACGCGUCCUCCGUCCAGAAAUUGGGGCCACCCCCAGGAACCCCGACGCCGACAAAGAUGAAUUAAUGGAUGUCACUUGUCCCCAGCAUCUGGAGACGCUGGCUGUAAUUACAUCUUCACCAGGACCUCGAAACCCACGUCUCCUGAGUCACCGAGCUCUCCCGUGGUUUCAUUUAAAAUCUAACUCCUCGUUAUGAACGUUCAAUAUUGGGGGCAAAGCGUUCCCCGUCUCCUCCACCCAGAAGCCACCCUUUGUCUCAUUUGAAAAGUCACGGAGGUGUCACUUCACAUCCGUGUAAUUUCCGGGGCGACCUGGGUUGGCGAUGAGCUUUUUCUUUUGUUUUGCCGUUCAGUUAGUUAAAUUCCGUCGGUGCAAGCUCGUGGUGGGGAAAAUCGAUCGGUGACCUGGCUUCAGCGUGUGUAGUCAUGUUGUUUAGGGACCAGAGGGCCCCCCGGACGGGAGCUUGACCUCAGUGUCACCUCCGCUGAGGCUGGAGGCUAAUUCACAAUCCUUCUGAACAAACACAGCGCUCUCUGCCCAGGGAGGCAGCCCGUUUGCCGUUUGUCUCCUGCGUCCUUACGGGUGAGGGAAGGGGGCCAAGAGGUGACGGGCGAGGCAGCUCACAGGGUGGGAUUCACAGCUGCGCCUCCUGGGGCCCGGCUCCCGGAAACCCCCGUGUCUGCGUGUCUGCACGGGGUUCAGGGUCCCGGCCUCGAACUCCCCUCCCAGCCCUCCUGCCCCUUGUGGACGCCUGAUUCCUCCUUGAGACUUUACGUCCAUCUGCCCGGGACUCCGUCCCAGCGAAGCCCCCCCGUUCCUGUCCUUCAUGGAGCUCACAGAGCCUAGCAAUGACUGUGUUUUGCUUUUUAUUUUUUAAUAUCAUGAACACACUGGGCAGUUUCAAGUUUACAGAAAAACCGAGCAGUGCAGAGUUCACUGCAGCUCCCCGUGUUACCUGCACUGUAUCGGGUACAUUUGUUACCACUGCUGAGACAAAAUCGACACAUUAGUAUUCACGGAUGUCCACUGUUCCCUUGGGGCUCAUCUUGGUGUUGUGCGGGCCGCGGGUUUGGACUCGUGGAUGAUGACGUGUAUCCACCGUGUUCGUGGCAUACGGAACGGCUUCACUGCCCUCUUUGUAGGAUGCGAUAAUGAUAUGUGACGUGUAUCCAAACCCAUGAACUGUGCAAAUCCAGGAGGGAACCCUAAUUCGAGUAAAGUGGACGUUGGGUGAUUACAAUGUGUCAAUUUAGGUUCGUCAAUUACAACGAUUAUCUCUAGUGGGGGCGGAUAUUGAGUCUGUGCAAGUGGGGGGGCAGGGGAUAUGAGGGGCAUCUCUGUACCCUCCCUUCAGUUCGGCUGUGACCCUGAAACUGCUCUUUAAAAAAAACAGUGACUGUCCUUUCUGACUGGAUUACCGUGUUCUGUUGAUUCUUACUUUGUGGUUGGCUUGAUUCCUUUGAUAACUCUGUACGUUUAAAAAGCGAAUACUCUACAAUGUUCUUAGAGAUAAUGAGCCGUACCUACAUGUAAACUAAAAAAAUGUGUAUUGCAGUAUAUUGUGUGUGCGUAUUUACAUGCAAUAUGUUGUAUUAUGUGCAAAUUGUAACAAUUCUACCUAAUAUAACUGAAUAAUGAAAAAAAGAAAGAAAACUGGCUAAUCUACAAAUAUAUAUAUAUAGUAAGCCUUUAAAAAUAAGAAAAUUCCUCUGUGCUCCACGUGUCCCUCCCUCCCGGCAACCGCUGACCAUGUGCGUCAUCAGCCUUACGGGCAGGGCGACCUGCUCUGUGUCUGUCACCUGGGACAGGUGUGUGCGACCUGGGUGGGCGGCGUGGCGUUUUUACGGCUCUGAGACUGCGCGCUGACAGAGUGCGCCACCAUCCUCGAGCCUGGGGGGACCCGCUUCUCCGGGGACGCGGCUUCCUCAGGCCGACCUCUGCUCCCGGCGGUGAGAGAGAACGCCUCCCUGUCUGGGCACCUGUGUGUGGCGAGGACCCUCUGGAGCGAAGCCUGAGGCGAGGGUCUGGUGCCCGCGGAUGGACGUGC